AGAUUGGUGCUUCUUUUCCUUUUCUAAAAUAAAAAUUGAUCUUUGAGUUAUGUUAGUCAGAUAUGAUUAUUAUGCCAGACUAUAUCAUCAGCAAGGUGUUUUUAGUACCAAAUGAUGAAUAUUUCAACCACUAUUUGGCGUACUAUGUACUCAUGAAAUACACUCCAAGGAAACAAGCGCCUACAAGUUGUCCCUCUAAAAUUAAGUUAGGUAUGUGGCAUGCAAGCAGAGGAGAGGAUGAACUUGAGAAUUAC